UACAGGGGGGGCAAGCGUUGUUCGGAAUUACUGGGCGUAAAGGGCUCGUAGGUGGCCAACUAAGUCAGACGUGAAAUCCCUCAGCUUAACUGGGGAACUGCGUCUGAUACUGGAUGGCUUGAGUUUGGGAGAGGGAUGCGGAAUUCCAGGUGUAGCGGUGAAAUGCGUAGAUAUCUGGAGGAACACCGGUGGCGAAGGCGGCAUCCUGGACCGACACUGACGCUGAGGCGCGAAAGCUAGGGUAGCAAACGGG
rnacentral:rRNA from 1 species